GUGAUUGUCUCGCAAUAAGAGCGAACAAAGCUAGACCAUGUGGAAAAUUGGCAUCAAUUUAUACCAAAGAACAGGAACACAAGAAGGACUGCUGGAAGGAAGCUUUACAUUCUCAAAGAUGACACUGUCACACAAAACAAUCAGAAAACUGAAACAUAUUUUAAAAAACAUAAAAAGGUUGAACCUUUUACAAGUUGAUUCUUG
rnacentral:misc_RNA from 1 species